UAAAAUUUCACUAUUUCACAUAAGUUAAUCCACAAGAGCAAUUGACUCCAGGCUGCAGAUGGGAAGUGAUUCAGUGUGGUUCCAGUAAGGAUGUAACUUGAGCACUACACAGAGUCCACACGACAGCCCGUAUGUCCUUACAAAAAGUUAAUCUGAAUUUUGAUCUGGUAUAAAAUAUACAAACCGAGAAGAAAAAUGAAAAUUUCUCAUUUUGGGAUUCAAGACUGGGGAAGAAGAGAACUGUGCCAUGAAAGAAAUGGAGGCGCUUCAUAAAAAUACAGGCUUCAUUUUAAAUCAAGCCUCUGCCUUUUUCUUCCUUGGGGUGUGACUUUUGACAGCUCCCAGGGCUGUGCACCACAUCACCACAGAAAGUCAUCUGCAGCCACUGUGGUGUGGUGUUGGGCGUGAGGAGGUAGAACAGUAGCAGGUCCUGCAGACGCUGUUCUCCAGGUUCUGAAUGGUCUGUGUGUGCCACAUUGCUCAGCAGAUAUCCAUGGGCUUCUGGUUGGCUUCAGAGGCUGAAGAAGGCAACAACUCUGUGGAGUCUGAACAUCUGCUAAAAUCAUGAUGGUUUGGGGAUGAGCUCA